GUGGAGUUGCCGUUGGAGCUCGGAUCGACGUCGACGUCGCACCGCGGUGCCGUUCGAGCGUGUCUUCAUCGUUGUAGUGCUGCGGGGAGGCCGGGCGAGGGUGCGAUUCCGCCGUUCUCGACGUUGCACCGGAUUGGGAUUAGCUUUUGAGGUGGGUUAAUCGUCGGUUUGUCUUCUAAGUAUAUAGAGAUAGUCGGCAUGUGUCGUUGUAGUUGUUUUUGCAUAUCCUAUUCGCUCGAUUCAUGGAUUUGAUGUUUCUUUUACAAAAAUAUGAAUUGGAGCCUAGUGUUACUAAAUCUACUUGCACAUGUCGGACUUGGAUAUGACUUAGGAGAAAACCUGCGAUUCGAACCUGUCACAUGUUUAAACUGCCUAAUUUAACUCUAGGAGCCGUUGUUAUUUUUGUAUCGCCGCAGUAUCAGCGUGGUGGAUACCCAGGUAGUUUAGACUUCAGUUACGCUCGUGCUGGGAUGCCGACUGUAUUUUUUACAGUAGCGUUCAGACUGUUGCGGAUUGUUGGGUGCCGUCUGGGUUGACGGUGGACCCAUAACGCCGUUUUGGCGUCAGAUUGUGCCGAGGUCAUGCGACCUGUUGGUUGUUAGACCAGUUGGACCUGAUUUACUUGACUUUUGCUUGUGAGAGCCUGAUUGAGCUCGACAGAGAUACGCUGCAUACUUGGUUGGGUAGCUCCCACGAGUGCCACUCCGGAGAUGGGCGUUGUGCUUUCGCGUUGGUGUCGUUCGUGCAGGUUGGACUCGCUUUCCACUGACUGCUUAGCGUGGAGGUAGCUGUAUAGUCACAACCGGGCGGGACGGAUGUGUUCACAGUCCUAGGGACAUGUAUGCUUACAGUCCUAGUGAGAUUUG
rnacentral:lncRNA from 1 species